rnacentral:rRNA from 1 species
CGGUCGGCGGGGUGAUGCUCUGUCGGCAGUGGCGGACGGGUGAGUAACGCGUGGGAACCUGCCCUGCGGUGGGGGACAACCGGGGGAAACUCCGGCUAAUACCGCAUACGUCCUGUGGGAGAAAGGCCCUUUUUUGGGGUCGCCGUGGGAGGGGCCCGCGUCCGAUUAGCUAGUCGGUGGGGUAAUGGCCUACCGAGGCGACGAUCGGUAGCCGGUCUGAGAGGAUGGUCGGCCACACCGGGACUGAGACACGGCCCGGACUCCUACGGGAGGCAGCAGUGGGGAAUCUUGGACAAUGGGCGCAAGCCUGAUCCAGCGACGCCGCGUGGGUGAUGAAGGCCUUCGGGUUGUAAAGCCCUUUUCCCAGGGACGAUGAUGACGGUACCUGGGGAACAAGCACCGGCCAACUCCGUGCCAGCAGCCGCGGUAAGACGGGGGGUGCUAGCGUUGUUCGGAAUCACUGGGCGUAAAGGGCGCGUAGGCGGCCGUGCAAGUCGGAUGUGGAAGCCCGGGGCUCAACCUCGGAAUGGCAUUCGAGACUGUGCGGCUCGAGGCCGGAAGAGGAGGGUGGAAUUCCCAGUGUAGAGGUGAAAUUCGUAGAUAUUGGGAGGAACACCGGUGGCGAAAGCGGCUCUCUGGUCCGGUUCUGACGCUGAGGCGCGAAAGCGUGGGGAGCAAACAGGAUUAGAUACCCUGGUAGUCCACGCCCUAAACGAUGUGCGCUGGAUGUUGGGAGCGUUGCUCUCGGUAUCGUAGCUAACGCGUUA